AUGAGACUCUUGCUUCCCUUGGAAAGAGGUAGACCCUUAAUUCUAUUGUCAUCUAACGAAUCUUGCCCAGUUGUAGACUCAGACCUCUCACAAAAAAAUAGAAAAUCAAAAUCAAAGGAAUUCAAAUAUAAGCAAUCUAUCGCCUUUGAUGACUAGUUGACAGCCUCCUCAACCCAAGCUUCCAUCUCCUGCUUCGGACAUCGGUGUGUGCUCGCGCCAGUCCAUGAAAGGUGGGUGAAGGUGAGUUUGACUACGAACUCAAGGAUGCUAGAAACGAUCUCUUUUCAGGGAAUUACUCCCGUAGAGAGGCCCUCUUCCUCCCUUUUUAUGAAUAUGGGAGAGAGGCAAACGAGAAGUCCAGAUAGACCUCAAAUCUUCUAGGGAAAGGAGGGAGAAUGAACGCGAGAUGGAGUCCCUGCCGAAUGUAAUGGACAUCCUUGGGGAUAAUUGUGUAAGACUUAAUUUAGCAUAAUCAUAUUAAUAUCAAGGAAAAGAUAA
rnacentral:rRNA from 1 species